rnacentral:rRNA from 1 species
CCUACGGGGGGCAGCAGUGGGGAAUAUUGGACAAUGGGCGAAAGCCUGAUCCAGCCAUGCCGCGUGUGUGAAGAAGGCCUUCGGGUUGUAAAGCACUUUCAGUGGGGAAGAAAGCCUUGGGGCUAAUACCCUCGAGGAAGGACAUCACCCACAGAAGAAGCACCGGCUAACUCCGUGCCAGCAGCCGCGGUAAAACGGAGGGUGCGAGCGUUAAUCGGAAUUACUGGGCGUAAAGCGCGCGUAGGCGGUCUGAUAAGCCGGUUGUGAAAGCCCCGGGCUCAACCUGGGAACGGCAUCCGGAACUGUCAGGCUAGAGUGCAGGAGAGGAAGGUAGAAUUCCCGGUGUAGCGGUGAAAUGCGUAGAGAUCGGGAGGAAUACCAGUGGCGAAGGCGGCCUUCUGGACUGACACUGACGCUGAGGUGCGAAAGCGUGGGUAGCAAACAGGAUUAGAUACCCUGGUAGUC